CAGUAGGUACAUAUGUGCAUUACCUGUGUUCUGCAGCAGGAAUGGAGAAUCCAGCCAUAGGACAUCCGUAGUAUCGCUGUGCCAUAAGC